NNNNNNNNNNNNNNNNNNNNNNNNNNNNNNCAAUUUUUUUUGCAAAAAUUAUCGAAUUCAAAACAAAUAUCCGAUAGCGCGCCGAUCGGUUAAUUCAAGUUAAUUCAAUAAGAAAUGGGAGUUAGCAACUGGUACCAUUUAAUCGAAUCCAAUUCAAUUGUUUCAAUAAAGAAAGAAUGAAUUUUCAAAUUCAAUCAACCUAUUUUUAGAAUUUCAAGUGGAUCAAUAAGAAUCUUGAGAAAAUCUUUCAUUUGUUUAUCAUUAUAGACAAUCCCAUCUAUAUUAUCUAUUCUAUGGAAUUCGAACCUCAGCUCUAGUUACAUUACGAUUCAUUAAUUUCUAUCUCAUUGAAUUUCGUUUUUAUUUUUCUUUUUUAUACUUUUUCAUAGACGAAUUCUGGCCAUUUUCACAUCUAGGAUUUACAUAUACAACAUAUACCGCUGUCAAGGGGGAAUUUCUUAUUAGUUAGUUAUUUCGAUUCCAAAAAGGGUAAAUUGGGUUGCGUUAUAUAUAUGAAAGGGUAUACAAUAAUGAUGUAUUUGGCAAAUCGCAUGGUCUAAUAAUCAAACAUUCUGAUUAGUUGAUAAUAUUAGUAUUGGUUGGGAAUUUUGGGAAAGCUUCCUGUGAAAAAUUUCAUUAACAACUAAUUCGUGUCGAGUAGACCUUGUUGUUGUGAGAAUUCUUAAUUCAUGAGUUGUAGGGAGGGAUUU
rnacentral:misc_RNA from 1 species